UACGUAGGGAGCAGGCGUUGUCCGGAAUCAUUGGGCGUAAAGCGCGCGUAGGUGGCCUCGUAAGUCCGCUGUGAAAGUCCAAGGCUCAACCUUGGAAAGCCGGUGGAUACUGUGAGGCUAGAGUACGGAAGAGGCGAGUGGAAUUCCUGGUGUAGCGGUGGAAUGCGCAGAUAUCAGGAGGAACACCAAUAGCGAAGGCAGCUCGCUGGGACGUUACUGACACUGAGGCGCGAAAGCGUGGGGAGCGAACAGG
rnacentral:rRNA from 1 species